UACGUAGGGGGCAAGCGUUGUCCGGAUUUAUUGGGCGUAAAGAGCGUGUAGGCGGCCAUUCAGGUCAGCUGUGAAAACUCGAGGCUCAACCUCGAGACGUCGGUUGAAACCGUUUGGCUAGAGUCCGGAAGAGGAGAGUGGAAUUCCCGGUGUAGCGGUGAAAUGCGCAGAUAUCGGGAAGAGCACCCGUGGCGAAGGCGGCUCUCUGGGACGGUACUGACGCUGAGACGCGAAAGCGUGGGGAGCGAACAGG
rnacentral:rRNA from 1 species